UAUGGCGAAUGAACAGGGAAGAGCUCAGCAUGGUAAUCGGGGCCCUAGGCCUUGAAUUGUAGUCUUUCGAGGUUGCACCAACGGAGCCGCAGAUGUAAGCCUCUUGGAAAAGAGCAUCGUCGAGGGUGAGAGUCCCGUCUGCCAUCUGCAGUUCUCCGUGUACGGUGUGCCUUCUGCGAGUCACGUUCCUCGGGAUUGGAGCGCAAAGUGGGUGGUAAAUUUCAUCUAAAGCUAAAUAUUGGUUCGAGACCGAUAGGAAACAAGUACCAUGAGGGAAAGGUGAAAAGGACUUUGAAAAGAGAGUUAAAAGUGCCUGAAAUCGCUGAAAGGGAACCGAAUGGAACCAGUCCUACUUGGUGUGAUUGUUGCGUGCUAGGUCGAUGGCUCGCUGCGUCAGCGCAAGCGUCGUAGUGGGUUCUGAGGCUAAUGUGCGUGGUGGUUCUCACCUUGUGUGUCAGCGUCGGUUCGGGAUUGAGGAAAACCGCCAGGGGAUGGUAAUUCUCCCGAGGGAGAAUGAAUACCCUUGGUUGGAACUCUUUAUCGGACCGUCCUCAGCGUGUGAAGCUCCUGCGGCGUGACCUUGUUUGCUAGUUGUUGGGGCCUUCGUGCCUCGGUAAUUAGUGGGUGAGCUCCGCGUCGCUGCCUUCAUUCCAGGACGUUGACGAAAUGGUUUCAUCCGACCCGUCUUGAAACACG
rnacentral:rRNA from 1 species